rnacentral:miRNA from 1 species
CUGGGACAUGGCGUUGGCAA